rnacentral:misc_RNA from 1 species
GACCUAACCGUGAAACUAGCAGCGGCCAUUAAAGAAGUUAUAUAUAGACACCGGGAAAUGCACGAAUGUCAACGAAGGGUAUUACGUUCACAGCGCUAUUGUUCAUUGUUGCGAAACGCUGUGGAGUAAUAAUAUAACAGUUUAUACAGUGUAACGAGCAUUGUAUACGUUUACAUUCUGUUGGAUACAUCUGAUGUAUGGUUCCAUUGUUUGGCUAUUGAUGUCACUCCAACUUGGAGGGCGCUCGAGGUAGCAGGCAGCGCGGAUUCAACAGAAGCCAGUCAAGGCGGAGACGCCUGCCACAUCAGUGUGCUGGUUGCUUAAAGGAGUCGUCGUGGAGUCAUCUAGGAGUCGUCGUGGCAAUGGAUUACACUAAACACAGAGACGUUGACAAAGGCUGGGCCUGGGUGGUGCUUGUGGCCACGUCGCUGGGUCAGGUGAUCACGGGCACGGUGGCUCUUUCCACGGGAUACUUCCAGACCGAGUUCCUGAAGCACUUCCCUGGCAGUAACAGCCUCAUUAGCCUCAUCUCCUCGAUAUUCAUGUCGCUACAGCUGACAAUGGGUAAAGCAAGACACGUCAUCAUGUCCUGGAUGUACACCAGAACAAUAUAAUGACCUGCCUCUAGCCUCCUGUGUAAUGCGUUCGGAAUCAGAGCUGCCAUGAUGGCUGGUGGCAUCAUGCUGUCCCUCGGCCUCUUCCUCAGCAGCUUCGCAACAAACCUCCUACAUCUUGUGGCUACAUACAGCCUCGUGGCAGGUGCGCUACUAAAACUACGGGGUCUAUGUGUAACGUAAUAUCCGACUAAGUUCAAGCUAAAAUUCGAAGACAACUGAAUCACAGACAUUCAUUCUCCUUUUCUUCUAUAUGAGACUUGAUUCUGCGAAAACAAAGAUAACAACAGCAAUGUUGAUCAGAUGGCUCUUAGCAAAACCAUUUGAAACAACGGACUAGAUUGUAGGAGCAGGAUACGGGAUCACCUACACUCCCAUGAACGUCAUCUUGGGCCACUAUUUUCACAAGAAACGGGUUCUGGCUAAUGGAAUAGCUAUUGCAUCAUGUGGCAUCGGUUUCGCAGGUGGUGGCUAUCUGGUUGUCUGGAUGCUGGAGGGAUGGGGAUGGAGAGUUGCCAUGGCAUCAAUAGCGUGUUUAACAUGUCAGAUGUGUAUCAUAGGAUGUGUGUUCUUCCCCCUCAAACUGGAGAGAAUGCGGCUUCCCUGUUGCACAAAAGAGAAGCCUGAGAACAGGAAGUCCGGACAGUCCCAUCUCUGGUUCCUCGGCGAUCCCUAUUGGUGGAUCAUGUGUGUCAACUACGGCCUACAGAUGAUAGGACUAGGAAUUCAGCUGGUACAUUUUCCUUCAUAUGCAGAAUCAUGCGGGGUGCCGCUCCGUGACAUCCCGUCGUUGGGGACAGCGUUCGGAGUUGCUAUGAUCUUUUCGCGGUUACUUGGAGGUUGUUGUUGUAAUGAUGAUGGCGUGGACUUGUUGAUGUUCAUGUUUGCAACACAAGGUCUGUCAGGAGUAUUCAUUCUAUUUAUGCCUUUUUUAUGCGAGUUCGUUCACAGGAUUGACAGUGUACACAGUCUUGAUGUCGCUAUUCUAUGCAGCGUCGUUUGUCCCCGUGUCACCCUUGGUUGUCAGGCUGUUCGGCGUGGAGAAGCUAGCCACUGUGUUCGGGUGGAUCAUGCUAUGGGGAGGACUAGGCUACCUCGUAGGGCCUGUUAUAGCAGGUACGUUUUGUGCAGACGGAUUCCCUCCACUGACCCUUGAGCAAACAUUCCUACGUAUCUGCUUAUCCAAUCCAGCGAAGCUGUGCAGACCAUAAUGAGCACAUGUCCAAUCCCUGCAAUAAGAUGGUUUGCUGUUCAAUGUCCCUGCCGGCAAUAUUCCACCUUAUGGACACUGGACAACGUCGCAUCCAUAUACUGGAGACACAGCAUUUUUACGACAUUACCUUGCAAACAGUGACAACAUUAGAUCUGUCAUGUUGACGAACAUUACAGGAAACCUCGUAUGCAGACAUGUAUCAACUUGUAGGACACUUACACGUGCUUGCUCCCAAUCUUAUCAUUGAUCUCAACAUAAUACAUUCGUUAGAAUCGUUGGUCAUGGAUAUUGCACGACGAUACCCUUUCCAUACUCUUGAAAUCUCUUCUUACAGACUGUUGUAUGAUUCCGAAUGUAUCUUGAAGCAAACUAGGAUACCAAGUACGUUUUCCAGUCACCUGUCAUAUAUAUUUGGAAUAGUUAUGUCGUGGUUGGGCGAUGAUCCAUCCUGCAGGAAAGUUGUUCAGGCAGCCUUUGAUCCCCAUUGUACCAAAUAUGGUUGAUUAACUGUUCCUGGUGAUUAGCUGAUUAUUGCUUUUGAUUAUUAGCCAGUUUCGUAUAAUGCAUUGUCCCAUUUCUGGGGUCCCCCGCCGUGAUAUUGCUGGAAUAUUGCUAAAAGCGGCGUAAAACUAAACUCACUCACUAAUGCAUUGUCACUAAUUGUUUGUGCGGGUACAUAUUUUAAAGACUUAAAAGUUACAUAUUUCACACUUGCCAAACUAAUUUCUCUUGAGAGUCAAGAUAUAUGUUUCAAAUACUUCUGACGCUUAGUUCAGAAGGAAGGCGUGUGAUUUUACUGAUGAAUAUGCGACAGUUAGGUUAAGUUCAAUAUGUUGUCAGAGUUCGCCAGUGUCAGAUCUUGCUUUAUUCUGGAUGUCGUUUUCAUCAGCUUUCUGUUCAUCAAUAAAAUGACAGCGUUAACAAAUCAGCAUGUUUAAUGUACUUACAUUACAAACUCCCCGUGAACAUGAGCCUUUCUUUCAGGGCGUAUCUUUGACGUAUCGUCUUCUUAUGCAAUGGGAUUUCAUAUAGGAGGUGAGUAAUAAAGAGACACAUAUUGAGAGAUUCCUUUCAACAGAAUAUCAGUUAACGUGCGUGAAUUGGAUACUUACACAUAGAAAGCAUGCUGGCCACUCACGAAACGUUUAUAGAGCAUUAAUUUUACAUCAACGAAGGCGAUUAGAGUGUUGACACGUUCUCGUAUACCCUGCCAUUGUUAAACUUUUUCAAUUGCUUAAUAUUAAUUUGUCUCCUUAAGAUGUCUUUAAUAAUAACAAAUUCAAAGAACUUCCGUAACUAUCUCUUCUCAUUGCAGGACUCGUUAUGGUCAGCAGUGCUUUUCUGUUACUGUUGAUUCCGAUCGUAGAGAGCAAGUUAAAAGUUACGGAUUCGGAAAAGCUAGACCAUCAACGGGACCCAUUACACGUUGACAAAUGUAUUACAAUAGAAAAUACAAUGGAAUCUGACUAGGCAAUCCAGCGAUUAAUACUAUGAACAACGCCCCACACCCGUACAAAGCCGGCGAUUCUGACCAACCGAUUUAUUAAGUCACCACUUAAUACUUGAUUUACACUAAUUCCUACCUGGAAUUCUAGUAUUGAUUUUGACUAGUAUUGAUGUGCGUGGGACACAUUUACCUAUUUAUGGCAUUGGUCGCAAGGUAUUUGGUCUCACUCCAACAUGUACUGUACGCGCUGCAUCGUAUACGUCGUUGUUGACUGACAAGGUGAGCUGCUCAGAUGACGUGAAACUGUUAAUUUUAAGGUGUAUGAUGUGUUUCAAUGUGAAGCACAAAGAGGUUUGUUAUGCCAUUAAUAAAAAAAAAAACUUGAAACGGUC